AAUCUAUCGAUAAGAGGCAGAUGAGAAUUGUGAUUAUUUAAAUAUCUUACAGAGUGCAACACACAUCCAAACACCCUUCUACCAAGUAAUUCUCAGAAAAUUACAGAUGGCAAUAGACCACCUUCAAACAGUAUGGUGUUUCUAUUUUUACAACACUCCUCCCACCUGGAAGUACAGCCCUAUUUGAAAUACUCCAGAGAGGACAAAUUUUUGUCCUUCAAAAACAAUUGUCACUGCACUUUUCUUCACAACAGCUAUCAAGUUCCAGACAAGCUGAAAUAUAUUUGUUCUUGAAAGAAAGGUACUUACAAUCUGUGAUUAAUCAAAAGCAGAGAAGAAUUGGAGAGCUUCUAAACUCCUCAACCUGGCUGUACAAAAAGAGAGAAGUAAUACUUGAAAUCCAACUCCCAUUGCUUUGACAAUGCAUUCAAAGGUUCCAGCAAAGACUUGCAAGAUGUUUAUGCAUUCAGCUAUCAAGUUAUCUCCAGAAAAAUAAAAAGUACACAAAUGGAGUUGCUAUUAUUGAUUUUUAUAACCACACAGGAAUUAGGGAUAAACAAAG